rnacentral:rRNA from 1 species
GAUCCUGCCAGUAGUCAUAUGCUUUUGUCUCAAAAGAUUAAGCCAUGCAUGUCUAAGUAUAAGCAAUUUUUGAACUGCGAAUGGCUCAUUUUAUAGUUUUAUUGAUAGUACUUGGAUAACCGUGGGUAAUUCUAGAGCUAAUACAUGCUAAAACCGACUGCUUGGAGGGGUGUAUUUAUUAGAUAAAAAAUCAAUGCCCUCGGGCUCUUUGAUGAUUCAUAAUAACUUGUCGAAUCGCAUGGCUUUACGCCGGCGAUGGUUCAUUCAAAUUUCUGCCCUAUCAACUUUCGAUGGUAGGAUAGUGGCCUACCAUGGUGGCAACGGGUAACGGGGAAUAAGGGUUCGAUUCCGGAGAGGGAGCCUGAGAAACGGCUACCACAUCCAAGGAAGGCAGCAGGCGCGCAAAUUACCCAAUCCUAAUUCAGGGAGGUAGUGACAAUAAAUAACGAUACAGGGCCCUUCUGGGUCUUGUAAUUGGAAUGAGUACAAUGUAAAUACCUUAACGAGGAACAAUUGGAGGGCAAGUCUGGUGCCAGCAGCCGCGGUAAUUCCAGCUCCAAUAGCGUAUAUUAAAGUUGUUGCAGUUAAAAAGCUCGUAGUUGAACUUUGGGCCUGGCAGGCCGGUCCGCUUUUUGGCGAGUACUGACCCUGCCGGGCCUUUCCUUCUGGCUACCCUCCCCUCUGGAGAGGCGAACCAGGACUUUUACUUUGAAAAUUAGAGUGUUCAAAGCAGGCCUUUGCUCGAAUAUAUUAGCAUGGAAUAAUAGAAUAGGACGUUUGGUUCUAAAUGAUUAAUAGGGACGGUCGGGGGCAUCAGUAUUCAGUUGUCAGAGGUGAAAUUCUUGGAUUUACUGAAGACUAACUACUGCGAAAGCAUUUGCCAAGGACGUUUUCAUUAAUCAAGAACGAAAGUUAGGGGAUCGAAGAUGAUCAGAUACCCGUCGUAGUCUUAACCAUAAACUAUGCCGACUAGGGAUCGGGUGUUGUUUUUAUAAUGACUCACUCGGCACCUUACGAGAAAUCA